rnacentral:rRNA from 1 species
GGGAUAACAGUUGGAAACGACUGCUAAUACCGCAUAAGCGCACAGGAUUGCAUGAUCCGGUGUGAAAAACUCCGGUGGUAUGAGAUGGACCCGCGUCUGAUUAGCCAGUUGGCAGGGUAACGGCCUACCAAAGCGACGAUCAGUAGCCGACCUGAGAGGGUGACCGGCCACAUUGGGACUGAGACACGGCCCAAACUCCUACGGGAGGCAGCAGUGGGGAAUAUUGCACAAUGGGGGGAACCCUGAUGCAGCGACGCCGCGUGAGCGAAGAAGUAUUUCGGUAUGUAAAGCUCUAUCAGCAGGGAAGAAGAAUGACGGUACCUGACUAAGAAGCACCGGCUAAAUACGUGCCAGCAGCCGCGGUAAUACGUAUGGUGCAAGCGUUAUCCGGAUUUACUGGGUGUAAAGGGAGCGCAGGCGGUGCGGCAAGUCUGAUGUGAAAGCCCGGGGCUCAACCCCGGUACUGCAUUGGAAACUGUCGUACUAGAGUGUCGGAGGGGUAAGUGGAAUUCCUAGUGUAGCGGUGAAAUGCGUAGAUAUUAGGAGGAACACCAGUGGCGAAGGCGGCUUACUGGACGAUAACUGACGCUGAGGCUCGAAAGCGUGGGGAGCAAACAGGAUUAGAUACCCUGGUAGUCCACGCCGUAA